CCUCUGGAGCGUUAUAUCAAACGUGAGUAGUCUGUUCUUCGGGACGGCAAAAGCGGACGCAGUGAAUGAGGAA
rfam:Selenomonas ruminantium subsp. lactilytica TAM6421 DNA, complete genome.